AGUGGGAUAACUGGGUCAAAUGGUGGUUCCAUUCCAAGUUUUCUGAGGAAUAUCUAUACUGGUUUCCAAAGUGACUGCACCAAUUUGCAGUCCCAUCAGCAAU
rnacentral:pre_miRNA from 1 species